UCUCUGAAAAUUAUCAUGUGGGAAUGACAGUUCUGAAACAGGACAGAUACUGUAUUAUUCAGCUGUCAGCAAGGGCUGAAAGAUGCUGGGGGGAGGUGUGAUUGUUGCUGUAUGAAGGUGCUAGUCAACUUGUCAGAUGCUAGGAAAGAGGAAAUUGGUGGCAAGAGGAGAUAAUAGAAGACGCAAGUGGAGGUAAAUCAGAAAGAUGUUAGGAUAAAUGUUAACCUAUAUCGUCGCAAAUAUAACUUACCAUUAGGGCAAAGCUAGGCAGAUAGAAUUAUAGAAUAGUGUGCAUUGGAAGGGACUUUCAAAGGUCAUCUGCUCCAACCCCCUGCAAUGAGCAGGGACAUCUUCAACUAGAUCAGGUUGCUCAGAGUCCCCUGCCUGACCUUGAAUGUUUGCAGGGAUGGGAAGCCCCUCUCUGCAUAACAUGUUCCAGUGCCUCACUGCCCUCAUCAUAAAAAUUUAUUCCUUGUAUAUAGUCUGGAUCUGCCCUCUUUUAGUUUAAAACCAUUACCCCUCGUCCUAUUGCUGUAGGUCCUGCCAAAAUGUCUUUCACCAUCUUUCUCACAGGCCCCCUUUAGGUACUGGAAGGCUGUUGUAAGGUGCCCUCAGAGCCUUCUCUUCUCCAGGCUCUCAACCCCAGCUCUCUCAGCCUGUCUUCAUAGGACAGGUACUUCUGCCCUCUGAUGAUUUCCAUGGUCCUCCUCUGGACUUACUCCUGCAGAUAGUGGGGAUUUAUUUUAAGUUUACAUUGAAUUUAAAAAAAUGCUUUCAGUUUGGGAGUUGGUGGAAAUUUAAGUAUUUUGAAAAGAGGUAGUGAACCCUCUGGAAGUAGAAAAGGGGCCAAAUUAAAAACAUGUUUUCUGCUUUUUGAUUGAGGUCAUAGAAAAUACUUUCUUUAACAAUUGAAGGAUUCUAUUACAGUAGAAAAAAUUAAUUAUUUUUGUUUUGAAGUGGUUGCAACAAUUUUUAUGUUGAAUCUUUCUUCUAUGUAGGCAGUCAGGGAAAUCAAUACAGAUUCUUGAGCUGCAUUAAUGUGUGAGAAUCUGCGCUUUCCCCUUGAAAAAUGAUUUAGGUGAAAAUUUUCACUCUGCAUUAGAGUGUGUCAGUAGAAUUAAUUGGGAUCAGAUAACAUAUGCUUAACACAAGUAAUCUUCAUAAUAUAUUUUCACAUUAUGGCUAUUAACAUGUUCCUAAUGUUGCUUUCUAUCAGUGUAGUCUAGGCCACAGGUAGCUAUGUAGACUUUCAGAGUAGUGCUUAACUUCAUAAUGGCAUUGGGAAUGGCUGGCUAUGAGUUCAAGCAGCUUCAAAAUUGGAAAACAAAAUAGUUUGAGUUUGUAAAGGAUCUUUGUGAAUUGCUGUGGAAAAGGCAUCCAUUACUACAGCAAAUGAGACCAAUGAGCUUUACUGCUGAAUGUUUCCUGCAGUGGUUCUGCUAGGGGCAUACAUUGGUGGUUGGGAUCUGUGGCAUGGAAGAGAAGAUCUAUGCACUACAGCAUGGAUAGUGCACUCAAAAACAGAUGGAGUGUAUGGAGAAGUGGUAGUCUCUGUAAGUCCAGUGAAGGAAGCUGCUGGGGUGCAGCAGAAGUCUUCACAUGUCACUGUUGGUCUUGUAUCUGUCUUGUCUCUGAAGUGCCUGGUAAAUAUAUCUUGUUAACACCAGUGUGGGCCUGAUUUUGCCACAGGUAUCAUGAGCUGUUACGCUUUUGGAUAGAUGUUAAUGUGCAAUGUGAUUUUCAGCUGACAUAUUUCAGCAAUAAAAUGUACCAUAUUGAAUCUAAGCAGA